rnacentral:rRNA from 1 species
UAGGGAAUCUUCCGCAAUGGACGCAAGUCUGACGGAGCUACGCCGCGUGAGUGAAGAAGGAUUUCGGUUCGUAAAACUCUGUUGUUAGAGAAGAACAGCGCAUAGAGUAACUGUUAUGCGUGUGACGGUAUCUAACCAGAAAGCCACGGCUAACUACGUGCCAGCAGCCGCGGUAAUACGUAGGUGGCAAGCGUUGUCCGGAUUUAUUGGGCGUAAAGCGAGCGCAGGCGGUCAAUUAAGUCUGAUGUGAAAGCCCCCGGCUCAACCGGGGAGGGUCAUUGGAAACUGGUUGACUUGAGUGCAGAAGAGGAGAGUGGAAUUCCAUGUGUAGCGGUGAAAUGCGUAGAUAUAUGGAGGAACACCAGUGGCGAAGGCGACUCUCUGGUCUGUAACUGACGCUGAGGCUCGAAAGCGUGGGGAGCGAACAGG